UACUAUGUUACGACUUAUCUUAUUUUAAUAACAAGAGUGACGGGCGAUAUGUACAUAUUUUAGAGCUAAAGUCAAAUUUUUAAUCUUUAAAAUUUUACUACCAAAUCCAAUUUCAUUAAAUUUUUCAAAUUUAAAUUCAUUUAAAUAAAUUUAUUGUAACCCAUUUCUACUUAAAUAUAAGCUACACCUUGAUCUGAUAUAAAUUAAAAUUAAAAUUAUCGAAAAUUAUUUUUCUAAUAAAAUAUUCUUAUAACGACGGUAUAUAAACUGAAAAACAAAUUUAAGUAAGGUACAUCGUGGAUUAUCAAUUAUAGAACAGGUUCCUCUGAAUAGACUAAAAUACCGCCAAAUUUUUUAAGUUUCAAGACCAUAACUAAUACUACCUUAGUGUUAAAAAUUACAUUUUAAAUAAUAGGGUAUCUAAUCCUAGUUUA
rnacentral:rRNA from 1 species